GUCCACGCCCUAAACGAUGGAUACUACGUAGGUGACCCUCCAAGGGGAUCCCUGCCGGAGCAAAAGCGUUAAGUAUCCCGCCUGGGGAGUAUGGUCGCAAGGCUGAAACUCAAAGGAAUUGACGGGGGCUCACACAAGCGGUGGAGCAUGUUGCUCAAUUCGAAGCAACGCGAAGAACCUUACCCAGGCUCGAAGCGCACGGAUUAACUCCAUGAAAGUGGAGCGACUCCUUAACCGGUGGAACGUGCGUAGGUGUUGCAUGGCUGUCGU
rnacentral:rRNA from 1 species